GCCGUCAUAGCUCAAGUGGUAGAGCAACUGACCUGUAAUCAGUAUGUUCCUGGUUCGAUUCCGGGUGGCGGCU
rnacentral:tRNA from 1 species